GAUAAGCUAUAUUACGCCUAUACCCAUAAGUCUUUAAUCGGAAUAAAACGCAGUCAAGACGUACCCAUGAGGCCAUAACCAUGAACAGUCCUACCUAUCGUCUAAUACAUUUGGUAUAAGUGUACAACAGACGUAUCGACGUAUCACAUAUUAUUGUGUUUUCAACAAGGAUUAUCGAUGAACUCUAAAGAAUAACUAUAUGCCUUCAUACAAUUAUAUUAAUGCGUGGUAGGUCGGGAAUAACGAUAAAAUUCCAACGAAAAAGUGUUUGCGAUGCGUUGUAGAUACGAUUUCAUAGUCAUCACUGCGCAAAGCUCUAAUGUUAGCACAAUAUUAUAAUCACCUACUCUCCUACAUAUUAUUAUCGUUAAUGUCUCUGUAAGAUGACCUCAUUGUGGUAUUAACCCUAACCGUAUAGGCCGAUGCACGCGAUGUGAGAAGGGUUGCUUUCGGUUAAUACCUAUAAAACCUCACCACCUGCAGAUUUUCAUUGUAACUGUACCGUUGUCCGUUAUUAGGUAUGUGACGCAAUAUUGGUAACAAUACGGAUGAGUACCGCGUGUGAAAUAAUGAUGUAAGAAAUGCGCGUUCCGCCGGACUAUAUAUUAUAUCCAAUCGGGUGAAAGUAGACCGCCGGUGAAAUAUAUAAUAUUACCUAUGUAGGUCCCGAAAAAAGACGUGCUUACGACUUGUAAAAAGUAAAAGAAAAACGUUUCAUCUGCAGCCUUAUAAGGUUCAACGGAUGAAGUAGUACGUGCAUAUUAUACGAUAUUUCGAUCUUACGAUUGAGAUAAACCAACAUUAUGCUUGGCGGCUCCACUCCAUCACGUGGGAUCGAUUUUUACAGUAGACCACUUCACACUUGCUGUUGACAUAACACCGGAAGAUUAUGGCCGUUUUUAGAGCUCCGACCUAUAAUAAUACUCGCAGCAGAUAACCUGAAUAAUACAGCACAACACAUGCAGCUGUUAUACAUAUAGUUGCUGCAGACCAAGCAAAAUAAGCAUCAAGUAAUGUAGAAGAUUAUGGAAGUACAAAACUUGGUACAAAACAAUUAACUGAAAGCCGCUUAAAAAACUAAUGUAUACCAAUUAAAAAUAAUGAUAUAAGUAUAUUAGAUUUUCUAAUGAUUUUCAGCCACUACAUUAGAAAUCAAUGCUACUAAAUCAUUUUUAAAUUUUUUUAACUUUAAACAUUUUUUUAAUUAUAUACAAAUGACAAAAUACAAUUAUUGCAGAUUGCAACUAUGCCUGUAUAUUUUAUAAAAAGAGUAAUGCAUGUUAAGGAAUGUUAUUUAUGGAAUGAUUUUUUACUGUGGUAUAAUUAGUUAUUGUGUAAUGUCAUAUACUAAAUAUAAUUUU